UUCAUAUCAUCUCUAACAAAAGAGUGGAGAGAACCGACAAUCAAUUCUCAUAACAAUAACUUUUUGGGGGGAAAAUGCCGAAUAGAACAAAGCACACAUGCUCGAGCGAAGACGCAGUUUCGGACGGUCUGAAUUCUGAUCUGUUAGUCUAUUACUGCAAGUACUGGAGUUCUCAUAUCCUCAUAUCCGGUUCGCAUUCUCCCCUAUUCAUUUCUUCUAUUUUCUCAAUGUUCAAUUUCAAUUUUUAUUGUUGGAAGUAUUUGAAAAAUGCAGCAGAAAACUUUAUAUGUUAGCUGCUUUCUAGAUUGUUAGAAUUCAGGUGGGAUGUUUGGAAGGAAUUAAUUGAAUUAAUCUUAAGCUGAAUAGUUUUGAAGAGUUAAUCAGGCAGAAAUCUCUUAUUGACAAGUUCUUCUGAAUUAUUGAAUUAUUAUUAUGUUAUGAUAGUAAUUAUUUGGUUACCUUUUUGGUUCUAUGAUGAAUAUGAUACAUGCUACAUUGAAUCUAUGUUGUCAAAGGCUCGCUUAAACCUGAAGCGAGGCUCAAAAUGAUUUGACUCCUUCGCCUCGCUUAAUGUGCACUUCAGUCUUCUAAUCAAGUUUCAAAGGAAUACUUAUCUUUGCCAAUGAGUCUCUUCUGAAGUGUUGACAGUAAAUAAUUGAUAUUUUACUCGAUCAUAAUCUUUUCUCGAUUUCUUUGUUCAUAUAUUUUUCAUUCAUGUUUGUAAUUAUUAGUCUUGGACUAAUUAUAUAUUUUUAUAUAUGUAUUUUUUGUUAAAGUACAUACUUUAUUCGUGCUUUGUGCUUAAAGCUCCAAUGGAGCUUAGAGCUUUUUUGCACUUUUUGCUUUUGAUAGCACGACAAUUAACUUUGAGAAUAUCUACUUUCUAAUAUUAUUCGUUUCUUCAAAUUUGGAUAUGCAAUAAACUUUAGUUUUUGGUUUUGUGUGCAUGAAUUAGAUGUUAGUAGGUGCUGCAUAAUCCUUUCUUGUUAUUGGCAUAAUGAUGUAAGAUUUCCUCUGAUGAUUCAAAGAAUGAGAGAAGAGUUGUUGGUAUUUUUACUAUAUUAUGUCACUAAUGCCAAUUAGAGGGAAUCUUCCUUGCUAAAGUGUGAUUGUAGAUAAUCAAUUACAGAAAAUGUCAAAAAGGAAAACCGACAAAGCAUAUGUAUUGGAUAAAAAAGGUAUCUUGUAAGACUGAGUGUAGAUGAUGCGGGAAAAGUUCUUCUAAAACGGUAAUCUUUUUGCUCCUGUAAACUUUAGUUUAUUGAUGUUACUACCUUUACUAGUAUAUGAAAUCAGUUGUAUAGAAGAAAGGUAGAAACAUUACAUGUCAAGAUUACAAGGUUUUUUCAGUUUAAAACGGAAUUCCUUGCUAUGUUUGAAAUGGAAGUGCUGCUAGAUGCUAACUGUAAGACUUAAAAAGAAGAUGAUAUAAUCCAGCAGUGAUGAACUUAUUAUAGUGGAAUAACAUCAUUGGAAGUGUUGUAAAAGGUCUACAUAAGUCACUAGAAUACAUAAAUAGAAUGGACAUGGAGAAUGUGCAGACCAAAAUUAUUAUCAAUGGGGAACCACAAAAUGGUGAAUAGAAUACAGUCAAAUGUCAGUCAGAGAAACUGAACUAACCUUGACUAAAUUACUUUCUGUCUUUCGAUGAACUCUGUCGGUUGGCCUUUUUCAUUGUCUAUCCAUUACAUUAGAAAUUAGCAUAUGUCUCUUGCGUCACUGGAAAAGAACUUUCUUAUUGAUGACUGAUAUGUGUAACAGUUUAAUACGAAACAUUCUUUUGAAUCCUUUUGCUUUUGAUUUAAUGUGGUGAAGGGAAACUGGAGAAACAGUUUCGGAUGUCCUGUAAGGUUUGUGGCUUGUUUGUCUGCUAUCAGACAGAAGAAGAUUUGGAGAAUGCCUCCUUCAUAUAUGUAGUUGAUGGGGCACUUAGUACUAUUGCGGCUAAGACAAAUCCACAGGAUGCUCCUGUACCACCCUGCAUCUCACAGUUAGAAGGUGGCCUUGUGCAAGUGGUGAUAGAAGUUGAGGAUCAUGCCCAAUGGUUAGCAAUUACAAGUACUGGGUCUGAAACUAUCUCAGAUGACUCUCCAAAGAGGAUGGAAUAGCAAAUCAAAGCUUCAGGCUAAAUGUCAGCUAUACCCAACAUAACCCCGAGGCAACACUUGCUGUUUCCAAAGCUGCAGACCAGGCCUCUUACUCUCAACAAUGAUGAGGGCUCUCAAUAACCUUGGACGGGACAUCUAACAAGCUGUUAUCAGCUGCUUCAAUGGGUUUGCCUUAGAUAUCUUCAGAGCUGAGCAAUGCAAAAAAGGUCAAGACUUCCAUACCGAUCAAAUUAAAACAGUAUUGCUGGAUUCUGCCGGUUGCCACGGGAUGAUAUAAGCUUUUAUGAUUGACAAAGGGAAACAAUUACGGAUUAUAGUACAAUAUAUUUAAUUUCUAAUAAUCACAUUUUUUGAAUACAUUACUUGAUUUUACAUGGAUAUAUCACUUUUACAUGAAAAUAUAUUUAAUUUCUAAUACAUCACAUUUUUUGAAUA